GACGAACGCUGGCGGCGUGCCUAACACAUGCAAGUCGAACGAAGCUCUGCGAUACAAGACUUCGGUCAAGUUGAACGGAUGACUUAGUGGCGGACGGGUGAGUAACGCGUGAGGAACCUGCCUUUCAGUGGGGGACAACAGUUGGAAACGACUGCUAAUACCGCAUAAUGUAUUCUGACCGCAUGAUCGGAAUACCAAAGAUUUAUUGCUGAAAGAUGGCCUCGCGUCUGAUUAGAUAGUUGGUGAGGUAACGGCCCACCAAGUCAACGAUCAGUAGCCGGACUGAGAGGUUGAACGGCCACAUUGGGACUGAGAUACGGCCCAGACUCCUACGGGAGGCAGCAGUGGGGAAUAUUGGGCAAUGGGGGAAACCCUGACCCAGCAACGCCGCGUGAAGGAAGAAGGCUUUCGGGUUGUAAACUUCUUUUACCAGGGACGAAGGACGUGACG
rnacentral:rRNA from 1 species